AGUGAACGCUGGCGGUAGGCCUAACACAUGCAAGUCGAACGGCAGCGCAGAGGAGCUUGCUCCUUGGGUGGCGAGUGGCGGACGGGUGAGGAAUACAUCGGAAUCUACUCUGUCGUGGGGGAUAACGUAGGGAAACUUACGCUAAUACCGCAUACGACCUACGGGUGAAAGCAGGGGACCUUCGGGCCUUGCGCGAUUGAAUGAGCCGAUGUCGGAUUAGCUAGUUGGCGGGGUAAAGGCCCACCAAGGCGACGAUCCGUAGCUGGUCUGAGGGGAUGAGCAGCCACACGGGAACGGAGACACGGUCCAGACUCCUACGGGAGUCAGCAGUGGGGAAUAUUGGACAAUGGGCGCAAGCCUGAUCCAGCCAUACCGCGUGGGUGAAGAAGGCCUUCGGGUUGUAAAGCCCUUUUGUUGGGAAAGAAAUCCAGCUGGCUAAUACCCGGUUGGGAUGACGGUACCCAAAGAAUAAGCACCGGCUAACUUCGUGCCAGCCGCCGCCGUAA
rnacentral:rRNA from 1 species